ACGCCCACGGUGAAAUGGUUAUCAUGCUUGCCUUCCAUCUGCUCAGAAGGAAGUAUACUUCCAUCAAGCGGUAGGGGUUCAACUCCCCGAAGGCGUA
rnacentral:tRNA from 1 species